AGAUCAUGAUGUGGGCAAUUCCUUAGUAGACCCUUGUAUCUCUUCUAAGCCUUAUAUAGUAACUCUUCAGCUUGUUGUUCAAAGUUGGCUAUGGCUUUCUGCAACU